rnacentral:rRNA from 1 species
GCAAGUCGAACGAGAAGCUCCGAGUUGCUUGGAGUGGAGAGUGGCGCACGGGUGAGUAACACGUAGGCAACCUACACCUGAGAGUGGGAUAACCAUGGGAAACUGUGGCUAAUACCGCAUAUUGUCUUGAAAACGCAUGUUUUCGAGAUGAAAACUCCGGCGCUCAGGGAUGGGCCUGCGGCGGAUUAGUUUGUUGGUAGGGUAACGGCCUACCAAGACUACGAUCUGUAGCUGGUCUGAGAGGAUGAUC